GCUUUCCUAUUUGCAUUUACUCCACCCAAGACUAAGUCGUUCAAGCUGCUCUGAUUUUUCUUCGCUGUCUCAACCGUUCUACAUAGGGUGUGUGCAUAUGUCUUCCAGGACUUCUUCGAGGGAUUUGCUCGUAUUUGCUGGAGUAUCCACAAUAUGUUGGAUUUUUGUAAUGAAUUCUGGUAAAAAACAAGUCCAAAAUAUAAAAAUUUGUUCUUCCCUUGUUUUUUUUUACACAUGUGGUUCAAACGAACGUAAUUAUUCCAAGUCUCUAACCACUUAAGGAAUUCAGAAUAUCUAAUUUCAUCUCCAAUUUGAUUUUGUGUUAGUAUGUGGAUUUUAGGAGAAUCGUGUCUGGUGGAAUCGCUCGUUUUUCCAGUUCGUAUUCCGGAGAAGAUUCCUCAAGAAGCACACACAAUUCAUCUGUUUUCUCCUUAAAUUUCUCGGAAGAUUAUUUAAUAUUAUUUCCAACGUCCUCUUAAUUUGAAAAGUAUUCGGGACAGCUUUUCGAUGUUCUUCAUUUGUGCGUCAACCGAUCUUAUUUGCGCACCUCUAGAUCUUCGAAGAUCGAUUAAU
rnacentral:lncRNA from 1 species